rnacentral:rRNA from 1 species
ACGGCUCAGUAACACGUAGUCAACCUAACCUAUGGACGGGAAUAACCUCGGGAAACUGAGAAUAAUGCCCGAUAGAACACUAUACCUGGAAUGGUUUGUGUUCCAAAUGAUUUAUCGCCAUAGGAUGGGACUGCGGCCUAUCAGUUUGUUGGUGAGGUAAUGGCCCACCAAGACUAUUACAGGUACGGGCUCUGAGAGGAGUAGCCCGGAGAUGGGUACUGAGACACGGACCCAGGCCCUAUGGGGCGCAGCAGGCGAGAAAACUUUGCAAUGUGCGAAAGCACGACAAGGUUAAUCCGAGUGAUUCGUGCUAAACGAAUCUUUUGUUAGUCCUAGAAACACUAACGAAUAAGGGGUGGGCAAGUUCUGGUGUCAGCCGCCGCGGUAAAACCAGCACCUCAAGUGGUCAGGAUGAUUAUUGGGCCUAAAGCAUCCGUAGCCGGCUCUGUAAGUUUUCGGUUAAAUCUGUACGCUUAACGUACAGGCUGCCGGGAAUACUGCAGAGCUAGGGAGUGGGAGAGGUAGACGGUACUCGGUAGGGAGUGGUAAAAUGCUUUGAUCUAUCGAUGACCACCUGUGGCGAAGGCGGUCUACCAGAACACGUCCGACGGUGAGGGAUGAAAGCUGGGGGAGCAAACCGGAUUAGAUACCCGGGUAGUCCCAGCUGUAAACUAUGCAAACUCAGUGAUGCAUUGGCUUGUGGCCAAUGCAGUGCUGCAGGGAAGCCGUUAAGUUUGCCGCCUGGGAAGUACGUACGCAAGUAUGAAACUUAAAGGAAUUGGCGGGGGAGCAC